AUGUACAGGGCAGUGACAGCAAAGGGCUGUGCUCGGUGCAGACGGGUCUGCUCGAAGAGAAGGGGCUGCGUGGGGCUGCCGGUGCCGCGGACGGGGAGCGUCUUGGUGAAGUCGGACGAACCUGGAGCAGGAAUCAGGACCAAGUGCUGCCCAAGACAGGAGGGAGGAAGGCAGACAGAGAGGGAAGGAGACAUUAGAGAGGUAACUCAGAACAGACUGCGACUCUACGGAAGAAAACAGGCUGCAACGACAACAGUCAGAGGUGAGGCCAGCGCAGGGUCCCACGGCACCCUGGGACCCUCCCUGCCUGACCCAACACUGCCCCAGCCCCAGCUGCUGGCCCAGAGCGCUCCCCUCCCUCACCCCAAAGCACACAGGGGCCUUUGUCACACAGAGCUGUGCUGGGAGCAGCUGUGGCCCAAAGAGGAGAAAGGAGGGGAAGGACAGAGACACGAGGGUGAGGGAGGAGGAGAGAGAAGGGGGCCAAGUCACCUCUGUGUAAGCCCCCCUUGCCCACCGCCCACUCUGCCCGCUGUUGGUGCAGGAGCGUUCCAGACCCGUUCCAUCCCAUACCAGGGCUGUGGGACACGGCUGCACAGAGCCCCGGCCCCGGGGCAGCCCCGGCCCCAACGGCGCGGCCGUUACCUGGCAGGAACACAUCGACCGGGGCGUCGCUCUCGGAGCGCGUCAGGCUCCGGCUCUCGCAGCCGCCGUCCUGCAGCACGUCCUCCACCGAGGGCGGGCGGCUCCCUGGAACCAGCCCAGAGCGCGGCCCCUCAGCCCCCAGCACGGAUCAGGGUGCUCGCGGCCAGGGGGGGUCCAGGUCUUGAUGUGAGGAAGCUCCCCAGGCGCCCCCAGCCCCGCUGA
rnacentral:lncRNA from 1 species